rnacentral:rRNA from 1 species
GAUGAACGCUGGCGGCGUGCCUAAUACAUGCAAGUCGAGCGACCACACGGGGAGCUUGCUCCUCUGCCGUUAGCGGCGGACGGGUGAGUGAGGCGUGGAUCACCUACUUAUAAUACUUGGAUGAUAUCGGGAGAACGGAGCCAAUAACAGCUCAUAUGUUCAACCGCCUGGAUCAGUAGAGCAUGGCGGUUUUCGUGUUACUUAUAGAUGGAUUCGCGUCGCAUUAGCUAGUUGGUAAGGUAACGGCUUACCAAGGCAACGAUGCGUAGCCGACCUGAGAGGGUGAUCGGCCACACUGGAACUGAGACACGGUCCAGACUCCUACGGGAGGCAGCAGUGGGGAAUCUUCGACAAUGGGCGAAAGCCUGACGGAGCAACACCGCGUGAGUGAUGAAGGUCUUCGGGUCGUAAAGCCCUUUUAUUAGGAAAGAACAAAUGUAUAAGAAUCCAUCCACGUCUUGACGGUACCUAAACAGAAAGCAACGGCUAACUACGUG